CCCAGUGCUGGGAGUACACUCCCUGAUUCUGGCCCCUGGCUGGAGCACUGUCACUGGCAACUACAGGACAGGCCACAUGAGACACAGGGAAGGACAGUUUCCUCCAGACCAGCAAAGACAGUGCUUGGUUUUCAUACCUGUUUUCUUGACUGUUGGACACAAAGCUACAGGACACUCACAGAGUCCGUUUGUUCUCGUCUUUCUUGAAGAAGUCACCAGCUUAUCAGUGCGAGAAACAAAAACAGAGAAGCUGGUGGUUUAGAGUGAACCUUUUCACCCUAUGGAGAUUUUGAAUGAGUCCACAUUUUUUGGCAGCUGAUACAAUGCAAAUAUAUGCACGUAUUAUGUAUGUACGUCGGAAAUGCAGACUGGAGAAACAGAUGACUCAGAGAUCCAGUGGAGAAUCUCUUCCAAGAAACAAUAAGAAAAAGAAGAAAAUGUUGACCAUCAAAUAAACUGAACCCAGAACAGGGGAUUUGCUUGCUGAUUCAUUCUGCUCCUUUUUAGUCUGGCCAACUGCCAACAAAUCAACUCUAAGUUCCUAUAGAAAAGGGGGAAAAUUGAGUUUCUGACUCCAAACUGAAUCCAUCUAAGGCUGAUGCAUUUGCUGAGUA